CCUACGGGAGGCUGCAGUGGGGAAUAUUGCACAAUGGGGGAAACCCUGAUGCAGCGACGCCGCGUGAGCGAUGAAGUAUUUCGGUAUGUAAAGCUCUAUCAGCAGGGAAGAAAAUGACGGUACCUGACUAAGAAUCCCCGGCUAACUACGUGCCAGCAGCCGCGGUAAUACGUAGGGGGCAAGCGUUAUCCGGAUUUACUGGGUGUAAAGGGAGCGUAGACGGCGGUGCAGGCCAGAUGUGAAAGCCCGGGGCUCAACCCCGGGACUGCAUUUGGAAAUGGGCUGCUAGAGUGUCGGAGAGGCAGGCGGAAUUCCUAGUGUAGCGGUGAAAUGCGUAGAUAUUAGGAGGAACACCAGGGGCGAAGGCGGCCUGCUGGACGAUGACUGACGUUGAGGCUCGAAAGCGUGGGGAGCAAACAGGAUUAGAUACCCGGGUAGUC
rnacentral:rRNA from 1 species